ensembl:misc_RNA Metazoa_SRP Metazoan signal recognition particle RNA
GCCGGGUGCCAUGGCACGUGCCUGUAGUCCCAGCUACUAGGGAGGCUGAGGCUGGAGGAUUGCUUGAGUGCGGGAGUUCUGGGCUGUAGUGCGCUAUGCUGAUCGGGUGUCCGCGCUAAGUUCGGCAUCAAUAUGGUGAACUCCCAGGAGCGGGGGACCACCAGGUUGCCUAGGGAGAAGUGAACUGGCCCAGAUCUGAAACAGAGCAGGUCAAAACUCCCAUGCUGAUCAGUAGUGGGAUCUUGCCUGUGAAUAGCCACUGCACUCCAGCCUGGGCAACAUAGAGAGACUCUGUCUCUA